rnacentral:rRNA from 1 species
CCUACGGGUGGCAGCAGUGGGGAAUAUUGGACAAUGGGCGAAAGCCUGAUCCAGCCAUGCCGCGUGUGUGAAGAAGGCCUUCGGGUUGUAAAGCACUUUCAGUGGGGAAGAAAGCCUUGGGGCUAAUACCCUCGAGGAAGGACAUCACCCACAGAAGAAGCACCGGCUAACUCCGUGCCAGCAGCCGCGGUAAUACGGAGGGUGCGAGCGUUAAUCGGAAUUACUUGGCGUAAAGCGCGCGUAGGCGGUCUGAUAAGCCGGUUGUGAAAGCCCCGGGCUCAACCUGGGAACGGCAUCCGGAACUGUCAGGCUAGAGUGCAGGAGAGGAAGGUAGAAUUCCCGGUGUAGCGGUGAAAUGCGUAGAGAUCGGGAGGAAUACCAGUGGCGAAGGCGGCCUUCUGGACUGACACUGACGCUGAGGUGCGAAAGCGUGGGUAGCAAACAGGAUUAGAUACCCGGGUAGUC